GCCUGGGUGGCUCAGUCAGUUGAGCAUCUGACUUCGGCUCAGGUCAUGAUCUCACAGCUUGUGAGUUCAAGCCCCUUUUUGGGCU
rnacentral:tRNA from 1 species